rnacentral:rRNA from 1 species
UAAUACAGAGACUGCGAGCGUUAUUCGGAUUCACUGGGCGUAAAGGGUGCGCAGGCGGCCAAGUGUGUGAGGCGUGAAAGCCCGGGGCUUAACCCCGGAAUUGCACCUCAAACUACAUGGCUAGAGCAUUGGAGAGGGUAGCAGAGUUCAUGGUGUAGCAGUGAAAUGCGUAGAUAUCAUGAGGAAUACCAGAGGCGAAGGCGGCUACCUGGACAAUUGCUGACGCUCAGGCACAAAAGCGUGGGGAGCAAAAGGG